UACGUAGGGUGCGAGCGUUGUCCGGACUUACUGGGCGUAAAGAGCUCGUAGGUGGUUUGUCGCGUUGUUCGUGAAAACUCACAGCUCAACUGUGGGCGUGCGGGCGAUACGGGCAGACUGGAGUACUGCAGGGGAGACUGGAAUUCCUGGUGUAGCGGUGGAAUGCGCAGAUAUCAGGAGGAACACCAAUGGCGAAGGCAGCUCGCUGGAACGGUACUGACGCUGAGGCGCGAAAGCGUGGGGAGCAAACAGG
rnacentral:rRNA from 1 species